rnacentral:sRNA from 1 species
AAGUCGUAACAAGGUCUCGUGGUGACAGCGGAGGGAUCAUUACUGAGUUACCGCUCUAUAACCCUUUGUGAACGUACCUAACCGUGCUUCGGCGGGCAGGGGAAGCCUCUCGCGGGCCUCCCCUCCCGGCGCCGGCCCCCACCACGGGGACGGGGCGCCCGCCGGAGGAAACCAAACUCUAUUUACACGACGUCUCUUCUGAGUGGCACAAGCAAAUAAUUAAAACUUUUAACAACGGAUCUCUUGGUUCUGGCAUCGAUGAAGAACGCAGCGAAAUGCGAUAAGUAAUGUGAAUUGCAGAAUUCAGUGAAUCAUCGAAUCUUUGAACGCACAUUGCGCUCGCCAGCAUUCUGGCGAGCAUGCCUGUUCGAGCGUCAUUUCAACCCUCAAGCACCGCUUGGUUUUGGGGCCCCACGGCCGACGUGGGCCCUUAAAGGUAGUGGCGGACCCUCCCGGAGCCUCCUUUGCGUAGUAACUAACGUCUCGCACUGGGAUCCGGAGGGACUCUUGCCGUUAAACCCCCAAAUUCUUUACAGGUUGACCUCGGAUCAGGUAGGAAUACCCGCUGAACUUAAGCAUAUCAAUAAGCGGAGGAAAAGAAACCAACAGGGAUUGCCCCAGUAACGGCGAGUGAAGCGGCAACAGCUCAAAUUUGAAAUCUGGCCCCAGGCCCGAGUUGUAAUUUGCAGAGGAUGCUUUUGGCGCGGUGCCUUCCGAGUUCCCUGGAACGGGACGCCAUAGAGGGUGAGAGCCCCGUACGGUUGGACACCAAGCCUUUGUAAAGCUCCUUCGACGAGUCGAGUAGUUUGGGAAUGCUGCUCUAAAUGGGAGGUACAUUUCUUCUAAAGCUAAAUAUUGGCCAGAGACCGAUAGCGCACAAGUAGAGUGAUCGAAAGAUGAAAAGCACUUUGAAAAGAGGGUUAAACAGCACGUGAAAUUGUUAAAAGGGAAGCGCUUGUGACCAGACUUGCGUCCGGUGAAUCACCCAGCUCUCGCGGCUGGGGCACUUCGCCGGCACAGGCCAGCAUCAGCUUGCCGUCGGGGACAAAAGCUUCAGGAACGUAGCUCCUCUCGGGGAGUGUUAUAGCCUGUUGUAUAAUACCCUUCGGCGGGCUGAGGUACGCGCUCCGCAAGGAUGCUGGCGUAAUGGUCAUCAGCG